rnacentral:rRNA from 1 species
CUUGAUUUAAUCAUAAGAGGUCCAGCCUGCCCAGUGACAUUGUUCAACGGCCGCGGUAUCCUAACCGUGCGAAGGUAGCGUAAUCACUUGUCCUUUAAAUGAGGACUAGUAUGAAUGGCCCCACGAAAGCUAUACUGUCUCCUUUUUCUAAUCAGUUAAACUAAUCUCCCCGUGAAGAAGCGAGGAUAAACAUAUAAGACGAGAAGACCCUAUGGAGCUUUAAAUAACUGAAACAUUUGCAUCCCACCUUAAAUUUCCGAAAUCUACACUUAAUUCCACAUCUUGUUUCUAGUUUUAGGUUGGGGUGACCACGGAGAAAAACCAAACCUCCAUGCCGAAAGAAACAUCUCUAAACAAAAAACUACAAUUUUAUGUAUUAACACAUUAACCUUAAUUGACCCA